rnacentral:rRNA from 1 species
GUCUAUGGCCAUGCCACCCUGAACAAGCUCAAUCCCAUCUGAUCUCAGAAACUAAGCAGGGUCGGGCCUGGUUAGUACUCGGAUGGAAGACCACCUAGGAAGACCAGGUGCUGCAGGUC